UGCCCCCCUUUUCCAAAACCCACCCAAACUUGCAGGGCGCGCGCUGCACUUCGCAUUUGCUCUCGCGCACGGGCAGCUACAGUAUGUGAUGACAAACUUCUCUUCUUGUAACAUCAAGUGGUUGGAAUACAUUUAUUUUAAAACAUGAUGCCAAAUGCAUCUUUAGCAAAAACGUGGAAGGACUCCGUGGAUUUGAUGUUUUAUCGAGGAUGCCCGUCUAUCUAUUUCAUAUCCAGAUGAUUGGCGACCUACAGUAUGAGAUCAUUUAAUGCCACGAGGAGUCCAAGGACCAUGGGCCGCUGAAUCUCUGACUCGCCCGCAGGAGGAUGCGAAGGCAGUGUUGCCUCACGAGGCUGAUGUAACUCGAGGAGUGGCAGAAUGAUUGAAGGACGAGCUCAAGGAAUCAUGGGAAGGAUCUGAUCUGGAUAUUCAUCUGUCGCUAUGAUAAAAAACUCACAACUCAACAUCUAAAUAUUUGUGAGAGUCCUGAUAGAUUCAGAUGAUUCAAGAAUAUAAUAUAAUAUAAUAUAAUAUAAUAUAAUAUAAUAUAAUAUAAUAUAAUAUAAUAUAAUAUAAUAUAAUAUAAUAUAAUAUAAUAUAAUAUAAUAUAUAAAAUAUUUCCAUGGCUACAUUUUUGUUUUUUUCUGUUUAAAUAAAUAUUGAUGUUUGAUUA